AGUCGAGGGGUAACAGGGAUUGCUUGCAAUCCGCUGACGACCGGCGCACGGGUGCGUAACGCGUAUGCAACCUACCUUCUACAGGGGGAUAGUCAAUAGAAAUGUUGAAUAAUACCCCAUACGAUCAUUAAUCUGCAUGGAUUGAUGAAGAAAGUUCCGGCGGUAGAAGAUGGGCAUGCGUCCUAUUAGUUAGUUGGUAAGGUAACGGCUUACCAAGACAUCGAUAGGUAGGGGUCCUGAGAGGGAGAUCCCCCACACUGGUACUGAGACACGGACCAGACUCCUACGGGAGGCAGCAGUGAGGAAUAUUGGACAAUGGAGGCAACUCUGAUCCAGCCAUGCCGCGUGCAGGAAGACUGCCCUAUGGGUUGUAAACUGCUUUUAUACAGGAAGAAUAAGCCUUACGUGUAAGGUGAUGACGGUACUGUAAGAAUAAGGACCGGCUAACUCCGUGCCAGCAGCCGCGGUAAUACGGAGGGUCCAAGCGUUAUCCGGAAUUAUUGGGUUUAAAGGGUCCGUAGGUGGAUGAUUAAGUCAGGGGUGAAAGUUUGCAGCUCAACUGUAAAAUUGCCUUUGAUACUGGUUAUCUUGAAUUGUAUUGAAGUAGGCGGAAUAUGUAGUGUAGCGGUGAAAUGCAUAGAUAUUACAUAGAACACCAAUUGCGAAGGCAGCUUACUAAGUACUAAUUGACACUGAUGGACGAAAGCGUGGGUAGCGAACAGGAUUAGAUACCCUGGUAGAAGGGC
rnacentral:rRNA from 1 species